GGAGGAAUUGAGCAAUGGUGGCUCACCAGUCUUGAAAACUGGGGUCCGCAAGGACAUGUGGGUUCGAAUCCCUCUUCCUCCG
rfam:Microgenomates (Amesbacteria) bacterium GW2011_GWC2_47_8 TY11_C0048, whole genome shotgun sequence.